AUUGAACGCUGGCGGCAUGCUUUACACAUGCAAGUCGGACGGCAGCACAGAGAAGCUUGCUUCUUGGGUGGCGAGUGGCGAACGGGUGAGUAACAUAUCGGAACGUACCGAGCAGUGGGGGAUAACUAAUCGAAAGAUUAGCUAAUACCGCAUAUAUUCUGAGGAAGAAAGCAGGGGACCAUUUGGCCUUGCGCUGUUUGAGCGGCCGAUAUCUGAUUAGCUAGUUGGUGGGGUAAAGGCCUACCAAGGCGACGAUCAGUAGCGGGUCUGAGAGGAUGAUCCGCCACACUGGGACUGAGACACGGCCCAGACUCCUACGGGAGGCAGCAGUGGGGAAUUUUGGACAAUGGGCGCAAGCCUGAUCCAGCCAUGCCGCGUGUCUGAAGAAGGCCUUCGGGUUGUAAAGGACUUUUGUCAGGGAAGAAAAGGGCGGGGUUAAUACCCCUGUCUGAUGACGGUACCUGAAGAAUAAGCACCGGCUAACUACGUGCCAGCAGCCGCGGUAAUACGUAGGGUGCGAGCGUUAAUCGGAAUUACUGGGCGUAAAGCGGGCGCAGACGGUUACUUAAGCAGGAUGUGAAAUCCCCGGGCUCAACCUGGGAACUGCGUUCUGAACUGGGUGACUAGAGUGUGUCAGAGGGAGGUAGAAUUCCACGUGUAGCAGUGAAAUGCGUAGAGAUGUGGAGGAAUACCGAUGGCGAAGGCAGCCUCCUGGGAUAACACUGACGUUCAUGCCCGAAAGCGUGGGUAGCAAACAGG
rnacentral:rRNA from 1 species